rnacentral:rRNA from 1 species
AGAGUUUGAUCCUGGCUCAGGACGAACGCUGGCGGCACGCUUAACACAUGCAAGUCGAACGAAGUUCUUCGGAACUUAGUGGCAAACGGGUGAGUAACACGUGGGAACUUACCUUUCAGCCGGGGACAACUACUGGAAACGGUGGCUAAUACCCGAUACUACGGGGGAAAGAUUUAUCGCUGAGAGAGAGGCCCGCGUCAGAUUAGGUAGUUGGGGAGGUAAAAGCUCCCCAAGCCGAUGAUCUGUAGCUGGUUUGAGAGGACGAUCAGCCACACUGGAACUGAGACACGGUCCAGACUCCUACGGGAGGCAGCAGUGGGGAAUAUUGCGCAAUGGAGGAAACUCUGACGCAGCCAUGCCGCGUGAGUGAAGAAGGCCUUCGGGUUGUAAAGCUCUUUUACCUGUGAUGAUAAUGACAGUAGCAGGAGAAAAAGCUCCGGCUAACUUCGUGCCAGCAGCCGCGGUAAUACGAAGGGAGCGAGCGUUGUUCGGAAUUACUGGGCGUAAAGCGUGCGUAGGCGGUUUAGUAAGUUAGAAGUGAAAGCCCUGGGCUCAACCUAGGAAUUGCUUUUAAAACUACUAAACUAGAAUCUCGGAGGGGAUGGUGGAAUUUCCAGUGUAGAGGUGAAAUUCGUAGAUAUUGGAAGGAACACCAGUGGCGAAGGCGACCAUCUGGACGAGUAUUGACGCUGAGGCACGAAAGCGUGGGGAGCAAACAGGAUUAGAUACCCUGGUAGUCCACGCCGUAAACGAUGUAAACUAGCCGUUGGGACCUUAGGUUUUUCAGUGGCGCAGCUAACGCACUAAGUUUACCGCCUGGGGAGUACGGCCGCAAGGUUAAAACUCAAAGGAAUUGACGGGGACCCGCACAAGCGGUGGAGCAUGUGGUUUAAUUCGAUGCAACGCGCAGAACCUACCCACACUUAACUAUCCUCUUGGGGCUUUCAGAGAUGAUCGCUUUCGGUUCGGCCGGGGAGUGAAUAGGUGCUGCAUGGCUGUCGUCAGCUCGUGUCGUGAGAUGUUAGGUUAAGUCCUGCAACGAGCGCAACCCUUAUCGUAUGUUGCCAUCAGGUUAUGCUGGGAACUCAUGCGAGACUGCCGGUGACAAGCCGGAGGAAGGCGGGGACGACGUCAAGUCAUCAUGGCCCUUACGUGUGGGGCUACAAACGUGCUACAAUGGUAACGACAAUGGGCAGCCACUUCGCAAGAAGGCGCUAAUCUCCAAACGUUAUCUCAGUUCGGAUUGUUCUCUGCAACUCGAGAGCAUGAAGUUGGAAUCGCUAGUAAUCGUGCAUCAGCAUGUCACGGUGAAUACGUUCCCGGGUCUUGUACACACCGCCCGUCACGUCAUGGGAGUUGGUUCUACCCGACGGCCGUGCGCUAACCUAUGGAGGCAGCCGACCACGGUAGGGUCAGUGACUGGGACGAAGUCGUAACAAGGUAGCCGUAGGGGAACCUGCGGCUGGAUCACCU